rnacentral:rRNA from 1 species
AAAAAGAACCUGAAACCGUGUACGUACAAGCAGUGGGAGCACCCUGUGUGACUGCGUACCUUUUGUAUAAUGGGUCAGCGACUUAUAUUCUGUAGCAAGGUUAACCGUAUAGGGGAGCCGCAGGGAAACCGAGUCUUAACCGGGCGUUAAGUUGCAGGGUAUAGACCCGAAACCCGGUGAUCUAGCCAUGGGCAGGUUGAAGGUUGGGUAACACUAACUGGAGGACCGAACCGACUAAUGUUGAAAAA